UACGUAUGGUGCAAGCGUUAUCCGGAUUUACUGGGUGUAAAGGGAGCGCAGGCGGCACGGCAAGCCUGAUGUGAAAGCCCGCGGCCCAACCGCGGGACUGCAUUGGGAACUACCGGGCUGGAGUGCCGGAGAGGUAGGCGGAAUUCCUAGUGUAGCGGUGAAAUGCGUAGAUAUUAGGAGGAACACCAGUGGCGAAGGCGGCCUACUGGACGGUGACUGACGCUGAGGCUCGGAAGCGUGGGGAGCAAACAGG
rnacentral:rRNA from 1 species